rnacentral:misc_RNA from 1 species
UCAAAUGCAUUCGAAAAAAAAAAAGGUCAUAUUAACUCACACAGACACUAAGAAAUUAAAUGCCAAUAUGCCAUACAUUCAACAGCUUACUAAUUAUAAUUUAUUCAGGUUAGAAUUUAAUUACUUAUUGUAGGCAUAAUUAAAUUAUAAGCUGAAUACCAUGGAGUAUGGACAGUCAAAUGAGAUUACAAAAUUCAUUUUUAAGAAAAUAUAGUAACAGAAAAGAUGAAUGCCAUUCAAUCCAAAUUAAAGGCACACUUUAUAUCUACAUUAAAAUGAAUUAGUUAAGGAAAGUAGAAUACAUUGAUUAUGCUUUGAAACAUACCACUGCAGCAUAAAUAUAAGGCUAGAAGAUGAACUAUUA